AUGACCGGAAGCAAGGACUUGGUGGUGGACGUGCACAAGAUUCCAUCUAUGCCCACCAAUGUCGAGUGGGGUGAUGCCUCGUCUUCUAAGGUAUUGGGACUCGGCAAGGUUGUCAUUUCUCAUGAUCUCACGAUCGAGAAGGUCAUGCUUGUUGAGUCCCUUGCAUACAAUUUACUUUCCGUUCGUCAACUUGCAAUCGUGGGCUUUGCCACUUUCUUUGAUAUUGAUACCGUGGACCUCUUGUGGAGCAAGACUCUUAAAGUAGACUUUGUUGGGCAUGUCGAGAAUGGUCUAUAUGUGAUUAACUUUUCGGAGCGACCCACUAAGACCGCGACAUACCUAAUGGCUAAAGUUGACGUGGGAUGGCUUUGGCAUCGCGGUUUAGCCCAUGUCAAUAUGAGAUCUUUGCAAAGUAUUCUCAAGGGGGACCAUGUCCGUGGAUUAACGAAUGUUAGUUUUGCUAAAGAUCGUGCUUGCAGUGCUUGUAUCGAAGGAAAGCUACAUGAGGAGGCUCACCCUCCCACGACUAUCAUUUACUCGAAGAGGCCUUUGGAGCUCCUUCAUUUGUAUCUCUUUGGGCCUCCAUCCUUUGAUAGUCUUGGGGGUAGGAAGUAUUUCUUGGUGAUUGUGGAUGACUAUUCAAGAUACACUUGGGUGUAUUUCUUCAAGAGGAAGAGCGAGACCCAACAAACCGUCAUUGACUUUGCAAAUGAAGCCCAACGUCAACACAAUGCAAAGAUCUUGACAAUAAGAAGUGACAACGGCACCGAGUUCAAGAAUUACACCUUGGAUGAGUUUCUUAGUGAUGAGGGGAUCAAGCAUCAAUAUUCCGCACCUUACACCCCUCAACAAAACGGUGUUGCGGAGAGGAAGAACCGGGCGUUGAUGGAUGCGGCAAGGACCAUGAUGGCGGAGUUCAAG
rnacentral:rRNA from 1 species